AGGGGACCUUCGGGCCUUUCGCUAACAGAUGAGCCUGCGUUGGAUUAGCUAGUUGGUGGGGUAAGGGCCCACCAAGGCGACGAUCCAUAGCUGGUCUGAGAGGACGAUCAGCCACACUGGGACUGAGACACGGCCCAGACUCCUACGGGAGGCAGCAGUGGGGAAUAUUGGACAAUGGGCGCAAGCCUGAUCCAGCAAUACCGCGUGUGUGAAGAAGGCCCUAGGGUUGUAAAGCACUUCCAAUUGGGAGGAAAACCCACCGGCCAAUACCCGGUGGCUUGACAUUACCUUUAGAAGAAGCACCGGCUAACUCCGUGCCAGCAGCCGCGGUAAUACGGAGGGUGCGAGCGUUAAUCGGAAUUACUGGGCGUAAAGCGUGCGUAGGCGGCCCGUUAAGUCAGAUGUGAAAGCCCCGGGCUCAACCUGGGAACUGCAUUUGAAACUGGCGGGCUAGAGUUUGGUAGAGGGGAGCGGAAUUUCAGGUGUAGCGGUGAAAUGCGUAGAUAUCUGAAGGAACACCAGUGGCGAA
rnacentral:rRNA from 1 species